UACAGAGGUCUCAAGCGUUGUUCGGAUUCAUUGGGCGUAAAGGGCGCGUAGGCGGCCUUGAAAGUCGGGGGUGAAAUCCCACGGCCUAACCGUGGAAGUGCCUCCGAUACUGCAAGGCUCGAGGGAGGUAGGGGCAGCGGGAACUUCCGGUGGAGCGGUGAAAUGCGUUGAUAUCGGAAGGAACGCCGGUGGCGAAAGCGCGCUGCUGGACCUCUGCUGACGCUGAGGCGCGAAAGCUAGGGGAGCGAACAGG
rnacentral:rRNA from 1 species